rnacentral:rRNA from 1 species
UACGUAGGGUGCGAGCGUUGUCCGGAAUUAUUGGGCGUAAAGAGCUUGUAGGUGGCUCGUUGCGUCGGGAGUGAAAACCUGCGGCUUAACCGCAGGCCUGCUUCCGAUACGGGCGAGCUAGAGUUCGGCAGGGGAGACUGGAAUUCCCGGUGUAGUGGUGGAAUGCGUAGAUAUCGGGAGGAACACCAGUGGCGAAGGCGGUUGCCUGGAGCUUUGCUGACGCUGAUGCGCGAAAGCGUGGGGAGCGAUCCGG